rnacentral:rRNA from 1 species
AUAUUAGUAAGCGGAGGAAAAGAAACUAACAAGGAUUCCCUCAGUAACGGCGAGUGAAGUGGGAAUAGCUCAAAUUUAAAAUCUGAAUGAAAAUUCCGAAUUGUAAUCUAAAGAAAGGACAGGUAAGAUGGGUGGUGGUGAAAUCAAGUCCCUUGGAAUAGGGUGCCUAAGAGGGUGAGAGCCCCGUCUAGUUUCAUCAUACCCGUCCCUUCCUCCUUCAAAGAGUCGAGUUGUUUAGGAAUGCAGCUCAAAGUGGGUGGUAAAUCUCAUCUAAGGCUAAAUAUUGGCAAGAGACCGAUAGCCACAAGUA